AUACGUAGGGUGCAAGCGUUAAUCGGAAUUACUGGGCGUAAAGCGUGCGCAGGCGGUUUUGUAAGACAGUGGUGAAAUCCCCGGGCUCAACCUGGGAACCGCCAUUGUGACUGCAAGGCUGGAGGGCGGCAGAGGGGGAUGGAAUUCCGCGUGUAGCAGUGAAAUGCGUAGAUAUGCGGAGGAACACCGAUGGCGAAGGCAAUCCCCUGGGCCUGCACUGACGCUCAUGCACGAAAGCGUGGGGAGCAAACAGGAUUAGAUACCCUGGUAGUCCACGCCCUAAACGAUGUCAACUGGUUGUUGGGGAUUUAUUUUCUCAGUAACGAAGCUAACGCGUAAAGUUGACCGCCUGGGGAGUACGGCCGCAAGGUUAAAACUCAAAGGAAUUGACGGGG
rnacentral:rRNA from 1 species